GUCCCCGUCGUCUAGAGGCCCAGGACGCUGGCCUUUCAAGCCGGUAACACGGGUUCGAAUCCCGUCGGGGACAACAUGG
rnacentral:tRNA from 1 species